GUCGAGCGGACAGAAGGGAGCUUGCUCCCGGAUGUUAGCGGCGGACGGGUGAGUAACACGUGGGUAACCUGCCUGUAAGACUGGGAUAACUCCGGGAAACCGGAGCUAAUACCGGAUAGUUCCUUGAACCGCAUGGUUCAAGGAUGAAAGACGGUUUCGGCUGUCACUUACAGAUGGACCCGCGGCGCAUUAGCUAGUUGGUGGGGUAAUGGCUCACCAAGGCGACGAUGCGUAGCCGACCUGAGAGGGUGAUCGGCCACACUGGGACUGAGACACGGCCCAGACUCCUACGGGAGGCAGCAGUAGGGAAUCUUCCGCAAUGGACGAAAGUCUGACGGAGCAACGCCGCGUGAGUGAUGAAGGUUUUCGGAUCGUAAAGCUCUGUUGUUAGGGAAGAACAAGUGCGAGAGUAACUGCUCGCACCUUGACGGUACCUAACCAGAAAGCCACGGCUAACUACGUGCCAGCAGCCGCGGUAAUACGUAGGUGGCAAGCGUUGUCCGGAAUUAUUGGGCGUAAAGGGCUCGCAGGCGGUUUCUUAAGUCUGAUGUGAAAGCCCCCGGCUCAACCGGGGAGGGUCAUUGGAAACUGGGAAACUUGAGUGCAGAAGAGGAGAGUGGAAUUCCACGUGUAGCGGUGAAAUGCGUAGAGAUGUGGAGGAACACCAGUGGCGAAGGCGACUCUCUGGUCUGUAACUGACGCUGA
rnacentral:rRNA from 1 species